UCAUUUGAAGUAAAAUAAAUUACAUUAUACUCUAUUUUGACCAUAUGAUCAACACUUGUACAUAGUGCCAUUUAUUUUGUGUUCUUCACUCUCGCGCUGUGUUGUGAUCGUUCGAAACUCAUUGCCAGAACGAAUGCAAAUUUCAUUUGGGAAGGAUUGGUGCUGGAAGAUGCAGCGAAAAUCAUGAAAUGUUAAUAGAAAAGUGGUUAAGUAAAUCGUGAAAGAUGUCAACGCAGGCGUAAAUGCAGUAUGUUUUGUUACAUGAUCUACGGCUAUUUCAUCACCAAAGCUCCUGAUAACAGAUCAAAGCAGGUGGAUAGGGCAUACAGAGUCGCCGUUUAAUUUUAAAUAUCUUCGUGAUCGGCAAACGCAUCAAACAGCAAGGGUUUUUUUUCCAACACCACGCACCAUCGGUGGAGCAAGCAGCCAACGUUUUGUUCGCCCAGCGCGCACCAUCAUGAAUUGAAAUAUUCCCGAGUAGCUUUGUGAAUAAAAAACUACACACUUACUGUCCGAAUUUCCUGGAAUUUUUUGGUCGGUCUACGCUCGCGGGAAUGGUGGGUUCGUUGAGGAGAAGGAAAGAAAGGGUGGGAGCGAGGAUUAACCAAAAACGCGUCAUUGAGAAUGAGGGGAGGUGCGCUCAGUGCUCACGCUGGGACACUCACGAUGCUUGAAAUACAGUGGAGCGCCGUUUAUCCGGGUACCUUUUAUCCGGAUUUCCGUCUAUCCGUGCUGUUGAGAAAUGACAGUUCAAUACAAAGGUGACAUUGCGUUAUGAGGAGGGUAUUUAAAAAAGCGGUUGUAAGAGCACAUCAUAAUAACAAAAAACACUAUAAAUCAUGGCAAAUUUCAAAUAUUCUAAUGGAAAAAACAUGAAGUUAAUAAAAACUGGGUUAUUUUUAUCA